UCCCAGGUGGCUCAGUGGUAAAGAAUCUGCCUGCAAUGCAGGAGAAUCAGGAGACACAGGUUCGAUCCCUGGGUUGGGAA
rnacentral:tRNA from 1 species